GUUAGCUAUGUUACAUUAUUUUUAACUUACCAAACACAAUGCAGAUAAGGAGGAUGCUCUGUUGUCUAAGAGAGGAAACAAUAUGACAAACUGACAUUAAGAAGGUUCAAACUUUCAGCCUUUAAACACUAUAGGAAAUUAUUACAUACAGAGAGAAGUAGAUUACCGCUGUUCCAUAUUACCAACAUAGUUAAUUAACGUUAACGUUAGUUAAUUAUGUUUCUCAAAAGACAAACUACUUUAAAUGCUAUUGACAUCGGAUUUGUAAUUUAUCCAUAAUUCAGACAUGAAUGGAGGAGUGAAAUAUUCCCAUGGUUACCACAUGCUAACUUCUACGUAAUGCUAAAAAUAGGCUGACGUGGCAAUUUCAUCAGUUGGCUGACUAAUUUGGCAGCGAGCAAAGUAACGCUAACCAGCUAACUAGUAGCUAACGCCAACAAACUAGUCAACACAAACUGACAAAACCCUUGAAAUUUUAACCAAUUUGUCAAUGAACAUACUUUAGGUCAGCAUUAUCUUGUGUUAUAAUGCUGUAGAUGAAAUGCAGCGCUCUGAUUGGUUGACAGUGAGUCACGUGGUGCACAUCAUUGAGUGAUGUACAGUUCUUGUUCCAUAUCACUGCGCACUAAGAGUAACGGUUUGACCGACCGUUAGUAUCAGCAAUGAGGUACUCGAGGCAGUACUUUAUGUACAGCCUCUUGUACCUUAUUGCUUAAUAAACGUCACGAAUGAAUUUGAAUCGCCUCCUUCCUUAUAAUGAACUAUGACACUAAUAGACGAAAUAUUUCCCUCAUACGGCACACAAAUGAACCCGUGACUUAACGUUAAACUACGAUAACAUAAAGGCUAACGCAGACUGUAUCCAUAUUAACUGAAAAGUUAGUUAGCUAACCAAGUUAGUUACCAAACUGACCAGUUCAUGCCAGUUCAGCACAUAACUUAAUACCGUUACAUAUUUGUCAUACUAAUGUGCUGCCAGCUUAGCGGCUAUGCUAUUGUUAGCCACGUUUUGCCGUUGUCAUACACAGGGAAUAUUUCACUCUUUCUUUAGUGUACACAUACUGCACGGGUUACAAACGGACGACAACGCCGUUUCACAACUAUAUAACUGUCAUUACACCAUCCAGAAUAUUAAAUCUAUAGUUGUCCUUUAAGAGCACUCGUAUCAUCAGCGAGAUACUAUAGUAUAAGCUGAUAAAUUGACAACAAGAUAUGGUCAAUACACGUGGUUAAUUUUUUGAAAUGUGAAAAGUUGAUUAAGUAAUGUUUUCCUAAGGCAUGAUAUGAAUUCACUAAUGAUUUUUUAGUACAUUAUAUGAGACUAAUUCGUGACACUAUUACCUUGUUAAAUCUAGUUUUGGAAAUAGCAACAUUAAGCUCCUACGCGGUGUAUCAGGCAAACACUUACGUCAGCAGCCAUUAUAUCCGACAUCAUCGGAGCGCUUUUGAACUCAUCACUGUCAAAAUCACUGUCAAAAAAACAUAUAAAAAAUUUGCGGCCAAAAGUCCGUCUCGCGCAAGCAAAAGUUGGUGAUUUGCCUCAGUCUUGUGAAAGCUGACAGAGAGGUAAGUUUGUUCCUCUCUAAAUGAGAUAAGAAAAUGAAGAAUAUGAAGAAUAACUGACAUGAAUUGAGUAUUUAUAUUGUAUAACCCUAUAAGUAUAACCAUUUUUAAUAAAAGAAACAAUUAAGUGACUAGAGUUGUUUAAAAUGUUUAAGCUAGCGGUUAGAUAGAGUAUCUUGGUUAGCAAAAGGGAUUUCCAAAUAGUGGUCAUCAAUUUUUGAAUGCAGUUUAGCGUUUUAGGCAAACGUAAUGCUCUCUUUAAUACAAGAUAUUAACCUAAUACGUUUGUGAUAACGAUAUACUAAUGAAGCAACACAAUAUGAAAUAAAAGAAACGUUUUAGAAAAUAAUGUGUACUAACCUACUACAUAGCUUUUUCUUAAUGCUUUGUGUUUAUUUUAAUAUUUCAGAAUGGCCUUAAAGACGCUUUUGACGACGAAGCCUCCAACACCCUAUUUUCGCCCCCCGCCAAUCCACCUAUGUGUGGUGUUGGUGGUGGAGAAGCCCAGGGUGGUGGCCUGGGAGUUUGACUCAAAUGGUGCGAGACCAGCACAGACAAAAAUGAAUAUUCUGGCCGCACUAACCGAUGGAGAUUCAGUGGCCAAAGUCACUGUAUUCGAGGAGUUUGGCAAAAGACUUAAGGAGGGUGGGAGUUAUAAUGUAAAGAGGGCAGUCCCCCCCAUAUCAAUUAAAUAUAACUAAGGACACGCUGUUCUUUAGGAGCGCUCCUAUAGCGCUCAGCGCAGCGCUCAAACGGGAAGCAGAGCUUCUAAUACACCCCCCCUCUCCACUGACUCCGCUGAGCACCUGCCGGGAAGCCAGGGGCCUGAUAACCGUGGAGGGCGAGGUGGUCGAGGUAAAUUAAGUUUCAGCCUACGGUGGUUUAAAAAGGAAACAGGUUUAAUAUUAGCUGCAAAUUGGUAUAAAAUGUCAAUUAACUGAAAGAUCCAUUUUGUUCAGCUGUCAGCUUUAAAAGAAAUCACGACAGGGAGAGACGUCGUUCCAUUGCGCAACGUCACGAUGCAGCAGGGGGAAUCACAGAUGUCGCUGUGUUUCUGGAGGGAGGCGGCCGUAUGGCAGCUGCAGGUGGGGCCCACAUUAAAGUUUCCCAUCUUAAAGCUGAGAGUUUAAACUAUGGGCUCAGACUCCAGUCCACAAACUUUUCCACCAUCGAGGAGGUACGCUCAGAGGACAUCGUGGGGGCACUCGGGGUGAUAGAGAUUGAGGGAGAUCCGGGGAACCUCAACCUUCUCCUAGAAGACGGCCGUACCGUCUUAAUUGAGGAGAGAUUGUGGGAGCCAAUCGAACUUGUUAUGAUCGAACCCGUAAUAAAAGUUCAAAUAAAAAUGACAGGAAACAAGGUGCAGGCGAUGGAAGUGGCGAAAAAUUUAAAUUUCUACUGUUAUAAAAUGUAUAUGUUUAUAAGAUUGUGUUCAUAAUGUAUCAGUUAUGUGUUCAUUUUGUUUUGACUUGUUACUUAUGUUCAAUUGUUUUUUACGCUUGUUUAUAAUAAUAAUAAUAAUAAUUUGUUGCAAUAAAUAUUCAACCGUAGCCGUAGUUGUCCGUCACUGUUCAUUUUGAAUGCUGCAUGUGACUUAUUUUCAGUAGAGGUUUCUUAUCCCUUUAGCAAUGAUGGCUGGUGGAACACU
ensembl:lncRNA